GGAACUGUGCCUGAAAUAAAGGACCACUUUGAUGUAGUGGACAAUGUGGGUUAAAAUCCCCCCAGCUCCU
rnacentral:tRNA from 1 species